rnacentral:snRNA from 1 species
UUGGAGUUUUGCUCUUCUCCGCCA